rnacentral:rRNA from 1 species
GGGUCAGUAGGUUGGUCGUGCCACCGGUACGUACUGGUCUCACUGAUUCCUCCUUCCUGAAGAACCGUAAUGCCAUUAAUUUGGUGUUGCGGGGAAACAGGACUGUUACUUUGAAAAAAUUAGGGUGUUUAAAGCAAGCUAACGCUUGAAUACAUUAGCAUGGAAUAAUGAAAUAGGACGAUCGAUCCUAUUUUGCUGGUUUCUAGGAUUGACGUA